AGAGAGAAAAGGAGGAGAGAGAAUGAUUGGAUAGAAGAAUGAUUGAUUGAGGUUAAUUUAUUGGUUAAUAUUUUAACUAUUUGAUAUUUAGUUAAUAUAUGAGAACUUAUGUGAUCACUUGCUAGUUAACUAUUUACCAAAUUAAAUUAAACUCUAUUUUUGUACUAGGCAGACAUUUUAACACAUGAAAUCUAGCUUAUGCAAUGAAGAUGCUCUAAGAACUCAAGCAAAACCAAAUCCCCUCGAGCUUGAAUAUGUGGAGAGAGAGAGAGAGAGAGAGAGAGGUCUUCGGAGAGAGAGAGAACCUAACGUGAGUGCGUGAUGGCAUUCACAAGAGAACAGACAAAGGUAAAUUUCACCGACCCCUCCUUGACAAAUACAAAUACUUUCCUUAAAAGUUUUAAAAUAACACUAUUUUCAUUACUUUUAAAAUUAUUAUUAUCACGAUUUAGCAUCUUUCUACUAGAAGGGAAUAAGUGAAAAAAAUUAAAUUAAAAACUAUUUUCUCGAAAUUGCAUCUCCAUCUAAACACAGCUACUCGUAGUGCUUAUUUAUUCAUCACUUUGGUAGAAUUAUAAUGGGUUACAUAACAUUAAGGCUCCGUUUGGUAAUACUUAAAAAUCAAGUUUUUUUUAAGCUUGCUAUCAAAAAAGUUAAGAAUUUUUAAUUUUUUACUUUUGUGGCUUUACUUUAGCUAAAACUAAGUAAAAAGGCAAAAACAGAAAAAUAAAAAAGUCAAUUCUGAUUGACUUUUUUGCUUAUUUUAAGUCAAAAAAAAAAGAUAAAAAAAGCUGGUGCCAAACGGAGCCUAACAGAGGAUAACAAUAAACCUUCCCUAAUCAUACUUUACCACUAUGAUUUUUUCUCAAAAUCUCUAAAUAUUGUUACAAUAAGACACCAUACCAAGUAAGUAACUGGCAUUUUCGAACCACAUUACAAAAUUUUGAUUUUUUGAUUUUUUCCCCUAAUCAUGUAAUUUUGAUUUUUUCGUUAUUAGUAAAAAAAAAUGACGGUUUAGCCAGAAAAGGGAAAAAAAAACCACAGAAUUAUAUAUUGGUUAGAUUUUUUUAAUUUUGUUGAUCUUGAAGAAUGUACUGGGUGGUGAUUUCGUGUUGAUCUUGACGGAUUCAAGAGGGUGGCGCUUUUUUGAGUCAUUGUUCUGGCUUGUUGUCUGAGACGAGGACAAGUGACAAGAGGAGCACCCACAAAACACACAGCUUCGGUUCAUCUCGUUCUUGUUCCACGAAAAAUCAACGAUCGGAUCCAAUCUUUAAUAUCUCCGAUCUUUAUGGUUCAUGGUACGAUGUUAUUUUCAAAUCAGACCCAACACCUCGUGUUCCUCGUCAGGGGCAGAGUCAGAAUGUUUGUUCAAUGAGAUUAAAUUCAUAAAAUUAUAUAUAAUUAUGAGAUGAUAGUGUAAUUUUUUUUUUCAGUGAGAUCAAAAUUAUAUUAAAAAUGUAUUUUUUUCUGUGAAAUAAUAAUGAUAUUUUUUUUUCCAGUGGAGUCACUUGACCCCACAGCUUUUUGACUGCUACCUCUGUUGUGCCCAAACGAGUUACAGUCACUCUACAACAUCAACCACAUUACAUGAGAACAGAUCCCCACCCCUACGUGGUUCGGCCAAUCUGCCUACAUCCACGGAGAGGAAACAAAUAAUUCAAAACUAUCACAGAAUGAAUUACAAUGAGUAUAAUAGGAGGAGCUCAUCUCCAUCACCUCUCAGCACUCUCUCAUCCUCUCACCAUCCACUGUUCUCUCCUCAAAUCUCACAGCUACAUUCUAGCCCACCUCUGCAAGAUUCUCUCUGUGCUCUCGGUGCUCCUCCAUAGCCACACUAGCACUCCCACAGCCCCUCUGCACACCGAUUUCUGCGGGGUGUGGCCCCCAACAAAUCCCCCACCCCUUACAUUCUUGCACCACUGCUCUUCUAUCUGGCACCUCUCUGAUUUAUAGGCCACCAAGAAAGAGACGAUGAGCUCACGGCUGAGAUCAACAUGCCUCCAUUGAGACUUCUCGGCAAGGACGCUCGUGUGACAGUUUCUCUCUCUGCCAUUCUUUCUUCCUCUGCCUAAAUCAGAGACAAAGUCUCUGAUGAAAUCAAUGAAGUCGAGGUGUUGCAUCUAGAAGAAGAGGAUUUUGGCAAGGCUUGGGUUGGGCCUUGGGCUUUUGGCUUCAUGGGCUUGGGUAUUCCAAUGGGCCUCAUAGGGCUGGACUCCAACAAUCUCCCCCUCCAGCCCAUUGGAGGUUUACUCGGCAUUAGUCAAGUUAUCCCAUCCCCGACAACUUCUGGUCCAGCUCCCUGUAAGAUCUACAAGACAGUAUCCGAGAUACUUACACUCAUCGUGGGCACUCCACUUGCCACUGAACAAAGAAAAAGUUGGGGAAAAUGCACUUCAAACCUGAAGUGCAUGCACCUUCUCACUUAGGUGAAUUGCUCCCCCCACCGGGGUGCGCUGGCAAAGUACGUCGCUUUGCAAGUCGUCGUGACUCCACUCUCCUCCCUUGUGUGCACAACUAGAGAGAUUACCGCCACUUAUCUUGAGGGAAAGGAGAUUCGUUCCGGCGGGACGUCCACGCCGGUCGUGUACAUCUACUCUGUCUCUCUCCUUGAGCUUCUUCAUGGACCAUCUUGCCACUGGUUGCCACCUUUUUGUGUCUGGCCAGACUCAGCACGUAUCCCAAAGAUCUCCUUGCGCUCAUGUUCCACUGUGAACCUUCAGUACAUCCAUCAGGUAAUCCUGCGCUUGCUUUGCGUGCCUCUGUGCAACGGUUGCUCUUUCGUCCACUCAAUCUUGCUAAUCCACUGACUAUGUCGGACAGCAGCUCUCCGUCUGAACAUUCUCCCUCAGUCAGUAUAGCCUCCGUCUUCCUUCUUCUGCAGCUUCUCCUGUUUCACUUGGAAACUCUGAGUGUUCCUCCACUAGCUUCAAAAGCUUUCAUCGCUCGGACUCCUGCAUCUCAAUGAAUCAUGUUACCCCGGUCACAUCAUGGAUCUUCCGUCUGACGGAACCGGACUGUCCUUUGCUAAACACAUCGCAUCGUUCGCCAUCCGAACAGUCCCGUGUCGCAUGAUACAUGGUAGAGAACAAACUAUGUCUCUGCAAAGUGGUAGCAAUCCUGUAUCAGAAAUCCAAUCUGCUCUUCAUCUGCAGAUGCCUGCCUAGUCACUCUCCUCCACGCCAUCAUUGCUGUUGUUGCUGCCUCUGAAGACUGAUAUGGUGCUUUGUUCCUUUGGCAAUUCUUCUUGUCCCCUGGUCGCAAUAAAAGCACUUAAAGUGCUACCUCUGGAUUCUGCCCUCCGCCAUCAUCUGGCCUUGACCUCUUCUCUUCCUCUUUCUUUGACCUCUGUGACUCUUCCUGUGGCCCUCUUCUCUAGAACUCGCUCGUUUGUUCCGCCACUGUAGUCCCUCUCUUACGCUUCACACACAGCCUUCUCAAUACGACUUUGUUCUGAGAUUAUUCUCCCGGUACAUCCCUUCAACUUGGUCCACAACCCAUGGCACUCGUCUCAUCGUCUACAUGUUGGAACACUCCUGUGUUAAUGCAUUGUCAGAUCUGCAACCCCUCUUCUCAUCGUGCUACAUGAUGAACACCUCGUGUUCACUGCAUUGUCUGAUAUGCCCAAUCACUCUUUAUGCUCAUCUCUCCUCAUCCUUGGUUUUCAUGGGGCGUAAUCCCGCAUCUGAAAGCUUGAUCGGGCUCUCAAAUUACUCCUCCUUCUUCUUCUCCAAAAUAGAGCAAAUUCUCUAAAACCGACCUCGGCGUAUGAAUCCGGAUGCCGGAAACUCAUACAGGGCUUUCCGGCAAAAAAUCAGACACUUCUGGGACCCAAAUUGAUCAAUCAGAACUUCAGGGACUAAAUUAAAUUUUCAUUUUUCCAGGACCGAAUUGGCAUUUCCCAAAUCCAGGACCAACUGCAAUUUCCCAAACUUCAGGGAACCAAAUUGAAAAUAUCAAAAGUUUCAGGGACUAAAGUGCAAUUUUCACUUUUCGUCAACUUCACUGGCUGGUCACGCCGGCUUGGCUCGGUCCACGGGUCAUGGCUCUGGUCACCUGCCGGCUCGGCUCGUAGUCAACGGUCGGUCAACGGCUCAGGUUUACUGGUCAACAGCUCAAUUUGACGGUCAAUGGCUGUGAUAUAUUGGCGUUUGAAUUUUUUUCUAACAAACAAAAAACAUAAUCAUUUUCUUUUUUAAAAAACUUUUACUUUUUCUUUUUCUUUCUCUUUUUUCCUUUUCUUUUCUUUCAUGAUUAUGUUUCCCCUUGUCUCUUCAUGUUUUUUUCUUCUUGACACGGCAGAAGGCAUCUCUUGGCGCUGGGGCUCGUGGGGGCGCUUGGGGCCGUGAAAAUCCAGUCAUUUCUACCUCUGGCGCGCGUGGGUUGCGUGGAUCUGACGCCCGACCUUCAGGCGGCGCGUGAGGCUCUUUUGGAGGCCGAUUUUGACUCCGUUUGGUGCUGGAGCUUCGUCCUCGGCGAGACGAUUUAGUGGUAUCUCAAAUCUCAGUUUUGAGCAAUUCGAAAUUUGCUCAACAUCGAAGAUGUACUCCGGUGGUACUCUCGGUGACUCUCCGGUGACUCAAACUUGGCUUGAUACCAAUUGUGUGCCCAAAACGAGUUACCAGUCAACUCUACCAACAUCAACCAAACAUGAUACACAGAUAUACGUGGUUCGGCCAAUCUGCCUACAUCCACGGAGAGGAACACAUAAUUCACUAUCACAGAAUGAAUUAUAAUGAGUACAAUAGGGAGGAGCUCAUCUCCACUCACCUCUCAAGCACUCUCUCAUCUCUUCACCAUCCAAUCACUGUCUCUCUCAAUCUCACAGCUACCAAUUCUACUCCCCACUCUCUCCAGAUCUCCUCUGUGCUCUCGGUGGCUCUCACUAGCACACUAGCACUCCCCCAGCCCCUCUGCACACAGCAUUCUGCGUGUGCCCCCACAAAUCCCCCAACCCCUUAACAUUUUCUCGCACCCACGCUCUUUCUCUCUGGCACCUCUCUGUAUUUAUAGGCCACCAAGAAGAGAAGAUGAGCUCACGGCUGAGCUCAACAUGCCCUUUGAGACUUCUUCGGCAAGCUCUUGUUGACAGUUCUCUCUGCGUGCCAUUCUUCUUCCUCUGCCUAAUAUCAGAGACAAAGUCCUCUGAUUGAUCAGAAGGGAGGCUGUUCAUCUAGAAGAAGAGGAUUUGGCAAGCUUGGGUUGGGGCCUUGGGCUUGGCUUCAUGGCUUGGGCUAUUCAAUUGGGCCCAUAUGGGCUGACUCCAACAACUCCGCCUUGUUCCGCGUGGUCCUUAUUUCCAGCCGACCAGUUCAAAUGACACGGUUAUGUUCCAUUAAUUCAAUUCAUGCAUCCUCUCACAUUCUUUCAAAACUACACUUUUUUAUUUUUUAGGUUAUUAUAGUUUUUAAAUUUUUUAUGUUUUUAGUAAAAAUAUUCGACCGUUUUCAUUACAAUUUUUAUAUUUUCCUUUUGCUUUCUUUUACUAGAGUUUUUUGAAAAUAUACAAUUUAUAUCUAAUGAUGAAAUGUUUUUCACUAAGAAAAAACAUUUUUUAUCAUAAAUUGCCUUCUUGUUUUUAGUGGAUUUUUUAAAUUUUGAAUAAAUAGUUUAUAUUUUCAAAUUUCUCUAAUCAAGAAAAACAAAAAAAUAUAUAAAAUUUUGAUCAAAUUAUAAAAAAAAUCACUAAAUAUGAAUAAAAAUUCAAAAAAUCAAAACAACGUAAAAAUCUAAAAAAAAUAAUCAAAUUGGGCCUUACUUUUAUUUCUUUCUUUUGGUGAGAGAAAUUACUAGUCGAUUUCCAGAAUACUUGUCGAUAUGCAUAUCUAAACAUAGUUUGGGAUGGAAGUUCAAAAAGCCCAAUCCAACAGGCUUCCUAUUUUGGGAUCGUUUCUUGAUUGUGCUACACUGCCUUCCCCUAUUUGGAGAGGCAAUAUUCACCUUAUUGUCUUGAGUCCUCUCUAUAUGUAUUCUUUUUGUUGUGUGUAUGAAUUAUUUUAAAAUAUUUAAAAAAUAUAAUUAUUAACUUUAAAAUAAUGAAAUUAGAAAGACAAAUUCUAAGAAGUGAAAGUUAAAAUUUUUUAAAAUGAAAUUUUGAAGAAUUAACUAUUUUUAAUUUUUGUAAAUUGUUUUUGACCUAUGAGCAGAAAUAAAAGUUGUGCCAAAUAUUUUAACACAAAUUUUAGUUUUGUAAGUUGUUUUGGCUAAUAAACAGAAACAAAAGUUGUGUCAAAUACUUGAAUACAAAAUUUAAAAUAAAAUAAAAUAAAAGUUAUAAGUUAUAAGUUAUGCCAAACAUGUCAUAUGUCUUAUCUAAUGGGUAACGUUUAUAUAUUUUACGAAGUAAAUAGUGACUCUCCAAAUGAAAAAUAAAUUAAAAAAUAUAAUAAUUUUAAAAAAGUAUUGUUGAUUUGGGAGAAAUGAUUGGUCUCACUAAAAAAAAUAAUCAAAUGGAUAAAAAAUAUAUCUAAUUUUAGAGUUUUUUGACAAUUAAAUUACAACAUAUGUGAACCCCACACAUUUGAAAAACAGAAAAUGAUAUUUUUAAAAAAUAAUAAUAAUAAUUUUAAGUAAAAUCUUAACUAUUAAAUUAGCUUAAAUAGAUUCUAACCAUAAAUAAUAGAAGAUAAUUUUAAAAUUUUAAAUAUUUUUACAUUUUAUAUUAUAGAUAGUACAAAGUGAUAUGUAAAAGAUCACGAAGAUUCCUGAGACACCCAAGAGUCUGAACCACAUUUAUUAAUGACACAACUUUCUGCAGUUUUCUCUUAUAAAAAUUAAUAUUGUACAAAACUAUAUUAAUUAAUUAUAAAUUAAUAUUUAUUUAAUAUUAUUUUAUAAUUUAACAAAUAAAUAUGACAUACGGAAUUAUAUUUAAUAAUUUUUUUAUAUAAAUUAUUAUUGAUCAACAGUUAAUUAUGCUCACGAUCACUGAAUGUUCAUCUCUUAUGAUAUAACAGUCUUUUCGCAAAACAAAAACAACACUAUAAUUGUUUUGUACAGCGAACCAAACAAUGAAAAAACCUUCUUUUUCUGAUUGACCUAAACAUAAUGUUCACGCUUUGCACUCAAUUUAAAAACUCAAAGAAAUGAAGCAUAUAUAGAAGAUAAAAUGACACCAAUAAAAAAGUCACAACUCUUCUCAGUGAGAUACCAUGAAAAAGCAUAAUUAUUCAGUUAAGAGAUUGUUUUAAAAAUAAUUUUAAUUUACAUUAAAAAAAAUUUAAUAAAUUAUUUUUUUCCAAUAAUUUACCAUAUGAACGAUUUUAAUUAUCAAAAUAAAAUUAAAGUAGAAUCCAAAACGUUUGACUGUAGAAACAUGUAUGUCCAAUUUUGAUGGAGAGAGCUGUAUCCAUCCAUAAUGACCAUAAUUAACUUGUGCAAAGAAGGUCAACGUGGCACUUUAACUUGUCACAUAUAUUCUUUUAGACUUUAUGAUAAAUAUUGCUUUGCUGAUUAAUCUCAAAAGGGAAGGAAAAUCUCACUUUUGCAAUUUUCACUUUCAUUGUUUUUAAGCACUGCUCUGAAAACUGGACGUUUUGAGGAAUUAAAAGAGCCGAAUUAGCAAGUUAUUGAUUCAACUGUUAUCUGACGCCUAAGUAUCAUAAUUAUAUCAUUAAUUUUUUAUAAUAGUAAUAAAAUAUCUCUUAUUUUUCUACACUAAUUUUUAUAUUUAAAACAUAAAUUUUUUUAUAACACAGUGAACCGGACGAUCCAAUGAUAAGUUCAAUCGACGGGUUACCGAUCCAACUGCAGUUCUGACUGAGUUUUAACCGAAUUUUGACCAAAUAGAUUUUGACGGAUGAUCAGACCGUUUCUCCGACCGGUCAAACUGAGCGGUCGAUCCCGUUUUUAAAACCAUGGUUUUAGGACUCUCUCCAACAUAUGUAGGAGCAGCUCAAAGAGAGAUGCGGAGCUUAGGAUAAAAUACAGGGUGAAAAGUGUAAUUAACUGAAUUAAUUAGUUUACUUCUUGCCAAAAUACAAGGAAAAAAAAGCACUCCGAUUCAAGUCAUAGUGUUCCCCACUAAAUCCAGCACCGAUUAUUCCAAUUAUUACAUAGAGCCAAACAGUCCUUUCCAACACUGGAAGCAAAACACCACCUGAAAAACAUGUCCAAGCCAGCUCGUUGUUUUGGGGGUGGAAGCCCGGCUGCAAUAAUUGAAGCCGUACCAAACGCGUUGG
rnacentral:lncRNA from 1 species